UCAGAAGGCCAUGUGACCGCUGUAACUCAUGAUGCCAGCCGGGCCACAGUGAGUUUACUCUAGAUCAGCUCUUGGUUUCUGCUUUCCUGAAUGUCCUAACAUUCUUUGGUGCUUUUCCACUACUGAGCCAACUUUCGAAUUUAAUUUCAUGGAAGUCCUCCUGGAUGUGUUAAGAGCCCUUCGGCGUGUGUAAACUGACGGCACCCUUGCAGGAGAGCAUUACCUAGCCCUUCAUGAAGCCACCUCCGGCUCGCAGGAUUGUAACUCAAGGCGCCAGAGCAGGAACGCAGCCCAACAGAAAGCACCUGUAAUCUCUGAGAGAAGGAGAAAGACCGCGCGGCUGUGUUUGAAUGAGUCUCAGGGACCUGGGGUCAUGAAAGUCUUCUCCGUCUUGAUUGACUUUUUGACACCUUUGUCUAGGGUUAUCUGGGAAGCAAUGCAGGAAAAGCCAACUCAGCCCCUCAAGAGCAGUCAUGGUGAUGACGACUCAGAUCGCAAGUCUUGUCAAGCCAAAUUCACAUGGGUGUCAAUGGCAUCUUAAUAAAGAUUCCCGAUGGCCUUUCCAGCUGAUUGUAAAUAGUCUAGAGCAGUUGUCCAGCUUAGAGAGUCACAACAGGGUCUUUCUGACCAAUCUGCUGGGGGCUGAGGGCCUCUGUACUGUUUACCACCUAAAAAGUUACUGAAUAGUUCAUUUCUCUCUACCUUCUCCUCCCUUUUUAGUGUGUUUUUUUUUUUUUUUUUUGUCUUUUUCAUUUUUAUUGGUACCAGGGAUUGAACUCACAACUGCCUGCUUACAAAGCAGGCGCUCAUGCCGCUGAGCUAAAUCCCCAGCCCCCCUUUUUAGUGUUUGUGGCCAGGAAGCCUGGACCUCACAGGUGCCCUGCAAGCACUAUGACCACACUGCAUCCCCAGCCUUGUUUUGGUCUUCACCAGACCUCAGCCCCCAGCCUUCCUCCCUCCGCUUCCUAGCAGCCAGGAUAGACUACCGUGAGCUUCCACACAGCACUCUGCACCUUACGGUGUUUUGUAUCAGAGGCGUGGCUGUCACCAGCAGUGCUUGUGAGGUGCCCAGUGAGUCGUUGGCUGUGAAGUCCCUCGGAGAGCUCUCAGCAAAGCCCUUGGCCACUCGAGCUGCCACCAUUUCCCACACUCCCUCCCUCCCCCUGAUGAAUCAUGGAUGCUUGCAACAGCUCGUGACAUUAAAUCAUCAGAAGAAAACCGGGAGGAAAAAAGGAAGAAAAACAAUCUUUUCUUGAAAAUUGGUUUUUAAGUUAGAAAUUAGCUAGAACUGCUUUGGAUGUCUAGGUCUUAGCUUAAGCAAUGGCCAGCCCCUUCCAGAACUCUGAUUUGCAUGCCUAGCACACACCCCACGCUCAGCCUGGCUGCCUCCCGAGAGCACCUCAGAACUGGUGCCCAGAAUUCUUUUUCUCUAGCGGAGAUCCCUGGAGGAGCCCCAUGCUCUGGACUCUCCCACCCUGUGCAGGCAAUGCCUUUCUUAGUAAGUCUGUGAGAAUUAAUGAGUCAGAGGGCGUGGACUAGCUCUGAGUACUUGGAGACUGGUGGCCGGACUCUGUGACUUCACACAGGAAACCUCAAAGAGAGCAGAAAUGAUGCUGGUCCCACAGGACUCGGUUCUUGAAGGAACUUCUCAAAGCCCUGUUAACUCUACGGCUUCCUACCGGAAGGUGCAAAAGCAGGACUAGGACUGUAGCCAGGAGCACAGCCCUGGCCUACCCUGUGUGAGGUCCUGGUUUAACAUUCAGCUUUAAAGACAAAAGGGUUUAGAAAACAGCCUAUUGUCCUAUUGAGCAUAGUUUUUAAAUAUAUUUUGUGCUUUACAUGAUCAAUACAGAAUAUGUAUAUUUAUUCAUAAUUUAGGUGCAUAUGGAUGCUAUGAAACAUAAAAAUAUGAAUUGAAGAAAACAAGAUGAAGAAAGAAGUUAAAUAAAUAAUGA